GGGCCCGUGGUCUAGUCUGGCUAUGACGUCGCUCUCACACGGCGAAACGAGGGCAACCUGCUCCCGCGUCAGAAUCCCCGGUCCGAGUCCGGGCGGGCCCA
rnacentral:tRNA from 1 species